rnacentral:tRNA from 1 species
AGCUCUUUAGUUUUGCGGUCAAAGCUGCAGUUUGGCACCCUGUAGAGCCAGGUUCGAGGCCAGGUGGGGUGA